GCACGGACCUUCGGGUGAGGUCGCGCCGUCGCCUUCCCUUCGUAUGGUUGCCAAAGAUGUGUUUUUCUGAAUUCUGAGACUGGACAAGGAACCUUCCACUGCAUGAAUACCAAGAAAGGGACAAACUGCACCCAUUCCAAAGGGGUUGAGUGGGCCACCCAAGAUUCCCAGAGAAAACAGGUGCGAUUUGAAGUUAUUUUUGAAAAUGUCAUUUGAAAGGGUAAAUACGUCAUAAGAAAAAGAAGAACUUACUGAAGGAGUGAGUUUGAGUUCUGCUCUCUCCCGAUCUCCUUGUUCAAAGAACUCGCUGGUUACAAGUUCAGCCACCUGAAACACAGAAAUAUUUAAAUUGACAGGUAAUCUCCUUUGGCCACCUCAAGGACUCUAGGAGCUCGGUAUGGGUGAUGUACCUGUUCCCAUGUUGCUGACAAGGAAACCAGGGCAAAGAGAGAUUAAGGGAGAAGCAGAAUGUUAGGUCUGUACCUCGCUUUGAAGGAUCAUCACUGCGUGGUUGAAAUGGUGAUGCUCUAAGGUAGCAGAAGUUCCAUAGAGUUGGGCCAGGGCAGAGCCACUCCUGAAAGAGGACAGAUGUGUAAGUGACCAAGGCCCUUCACCCGUCAACGAUCCCCCGACACUGGCUCUUUGGAUCAACGUGUUUCUCCUGCUUCCGCAAAGGACCAUGAGCAGAUACAUUCUCAGGUAACCACCUGUGUAGUUCACGAAUGUAUUAAGUAAACGUUUUGGGAAUCUUCUCUGUGUUAGGCUAGAUGCUGUGGAUGAUACGACCGUGAAAAAGACACAGCUCACGCUGCUAAGAAAUUUACAGACUAGUAAGGGAGAUGAGAUGUGGUCCUACGGGAAAAUAAUGCACAGAGCACAUAAUAUAAAUACCAUAGAAAAUGUUCCAGGUCCAGUCAAAGUGCUUUGGAUGAUCUGAGGACAAGAGACAUAAUUCCUGGCUUUGGAGAUCAGGAUAGGCUUCAUGAGCUAAACCUUAUAAAGCUUCUGAGUGUCCAGAACGAAUGUCAUAUACCAAAUGUAUUUGUGGUUCCAUGGGAAAAGACCUUGUGAAUAUUAUGUAGAACCCAUUUAAUCUGCUUUACAUGUAAGGUUGACAAGCUUCUACAUGUAAGGUUGACAAGCUUUUCCAACCUACAGUCACACUGUGAUAUCUCAAUGUCGAACUCCAGAAAGUUCCCUGGAUUUGGAGUCAGAACUCAGCUCUCGGUAAUAGUUUCGGGUCAUUACUUGGUUGCUUUAAGCAUCAGUUUCUUUGUCUCUAAAAUUAUGAUAA